AGAACUGAACCUUGAAUCUAUCUGACAACAAAGACAAGUAAAAAAACUAGACUAAACUGAUCUUAAACAGUAGGAGGAGCUUUGCAUGCCAAAAAAAAGAAAAUAAGAACAUUCACAGUAGGAAGAACAAACAGCCAGAACAAGCUCAGGUAGUUGAUGAUUCAGAGUAAGCUAGAUCCUGCAAAAAACAGAAUGUAUACUAUUGGUUGUCUGACAAUAUGCAGAAAUCUGCACUCCUUCAGAUUGUCCAUCUACAUCACCCAUGACAUGGAACAAACAACCAAAAAACGAAGG
rnacentral:lncRNA from 1 species